UACAGAGGUCUCGAGCGUUAGGCGGAAUCACUGGGCUUAAAGCGUGUGUAGGUGGAUGCCUAAGUACCUUGUGAAAUCCCACAGCUUAACUGUGGAACUGCUUGGUAUACUGGGUGUCUUGAGUCACUCAGGGGCGAGCGGAACAAAUGGUGGAGCGGUGAAAUGCGUAGAUAUCAUUUGGAACGCCAAUGGUGAAAACAGCUCGCUGGGGGUGUACUGACACUGAGACACGAAAGCCGGGGGAGCGAACGGG
rnacentral:rRNA from 1 species